GCCAGCAUGGUGUAGUGGUUUGCGUGUUGGACUAUGACUCUGGAGACCAGGGGUCAAAUCCCUGCUCAGCCA